UAUUUGAUGAAAUAUUAAAUAAACAAAAAUAAAAAUUGCAUUUUAUUUGUGAUAUUUUGACGCGAAUGCAUUUUGCAUGAGAUUUUUUUGCCAAAGACCGGCGUUAUGACGUCGUAGCGUUGGUAACGUUUCGGAUGUUGGUUGGAUGAUGGCGCAAUCCAUACGACACGCGCGGGGGCGCGUUGGUGGCAUCGCGCGCGCGUCGCGACGCUUGCCAUCCCCUCUCGCAGGAUGGGCAGCGUGUAAACGAAGCGCCAGACGCGCCACACCACCCUACAAAAUUCUAUUUUCAAAGCAUUAAAUCUGAUAAUAUUUUUUGCUUUUUUAUUAUCUUAUAACUUAUUAAAAGCAUUAAUAAAUAAUAAUUAAUUUUAAUUUCUUUAAUAAAAAUCUAAAUUUAAAUAUUUCAGGUCUUUACAAUGUUCAUAAUUUAAUGUAACUUUGUGAGUACAUGUGCGAUGUGCAUCCGACAUGAUGUUGUUUGUUGCCCAUCAUUACCGGCUCCACCAAACACUGAACACACUUUAUAAAUAGAACAUUUUUAUCGAUCGAUCUCGGCAUGUAAACGCGCUCGGACGAUUUCGCCGCUGACUCGCGCCUAAAACACGUCCGUCUUCGCAUUAAUUCACCUUCAAAAACGCAAACAAUGUUCAAUUGCACAUUGCGCACAAUUAUGUAAGUACGUAUCGCUAAAGUAGCGCGUAAUUCGCACGCAUAAUCGACGCCAAUUGCACUCCAUUAUUGAGUUCCUCAUUUCACGAUGCUUUAAUCGAUUAGUCCGACUUCUAACUCAACUGCUCGACUGGCUCGCAAUAAACAAUAAAUAAUAACGACCCGUCCGGGCGCAUACGGGCAAUGUCAAGGGCAUGUUUCAAUACAUUAAUGCGUUUUAUUUUGCUUCGCGCGCGCAGGAUGUGUGCUUGCAUCGUGCACACGUACGGUACACGUGCGCGUGCAAUAUGCGCCUUAGUUUUUCGCUAUUUCGAGCAAUUACAUAUCAAUCGCGCGGCGAAAACGCGCCUGAAAGCUUUCCAACUCGAUUAUGCCAUCAACGGAUUUAGAAGAAAGGUUUUGUUUGGUCGUUUGGUGUCAUGCAUAAAUCACCGCUGCAAAAUGAAUAUAAACUCAUGCUAAUAUGUGGAUUAUUUAAUUUUAACGUUAAAUAUUGAUGAAAUGUAAUAAUUUUGAGUUUAAAUAGAUUAUAAUUGAGGUUAAGUUAUUGACAAAAUCCCAAAAUGAAAACAAUACAGUUCAACUUUUCAUUUACAAUAAAUUAUAAUGAAAAAUUAAAUUACAAGCCUUUGUUCAGUGAUAAAUUGCAUUGCGUAUGCGCAAAAUGCUUAUAUUUCUUCUUUAUAAACAAUAAACAAUAUUUCAUUAAAA